GUGAGUAGUUCAGAGUUUGAUCCUGGCUCAGGAUGAACGCUAGCUACAGGCUUAACACAUGCAAGUCGAGGGGCAGCGCAGUGUAGCAAUACAUGGGCGGCGACCGGCGCACGGGUGCGUAACGCGUAUCCAACCUUCCCGUUACUCAGGGAUAGCCUUCCGAAAGGGAGAUUAAUACCUGAUGGUGUUUGAAUUCCGCAUGUUAUUCAAACUAAAGAUUUAUCGGUAACGGAUGGGGAUGCGUGACAUUAGAUAGUAGGCGGGGUAACGGCCCACCUAGUCUACGAUGUCUAGGGGUUCUGAGAGGAAGGUCCCCCACACUGGAACUGAGACACGGUCCAG
rnacentral:rRNA from 1 species